GCCGGUAUAGCUCAGUUGGUAGAGCAACUGACUUGUAAUCAGUAGGUCCUCAGUUCGAGUCCGAGUGCCGGCACCA
rnacentral:tRNA from 1 species